CUUCUAGGCGACAAUACACUCACGAGCUCUCUACGAUGCCGUCCAUAGGGGGAAACGACGGUGAUGGCGAGAAUGUACGAGAUCUCGAUGUUGCCGUCCGAGGGUUCCUCAUUCUCGGCGUGAUAAUAGACUUGUGUUAAUGAGGCUUGUGUUUGAAAAAACAUAUGAAUCUGGACUUUGGUUUCAAGGAAAGUCACUUUCUAAAUCCCUUUCUGGAAAGGAUGCUCCAAAAAAUUUCUCAUACAGGCACGAUUAUUUUAUACUACCACCACUUGUUCCUGUUUCUUUACAAUGUUGUUUCUUUACAAUGUGUAGAAUGAUCUUAUGUCUGCUCUUUAAGUGAGCUACCCUUUAAGCCUUAUGAUAGUUUCUUAUGUCUUAAACUUUAAAGCAUAACAAGAUGUGGUACUACUGUAGAAUUUUGUGACAAGCCCGUGGGAAGGAAAAGAGAAGCCUUUAGUAAAAGGACCUUCAUCCUUCCAUUCAUAUUUUUCCUCUCUCACUUACACACACACACACACAGUGACAUUUCAAUACUUAUUUAGACUUUGUAAAAAUAUUCAAUUUAUCAUUUAAGAUUAAACCAAACCAUUAUUUAUAUAGGAUAUUAACCCUGCAUCCCUUAAGCAUUUCAUUCAACUUCCUAGAGUUUGUUAGGGGUAACUGAAAGAACCUUUGGGUUUGAGUUAUUCAAAUAGAUCCUAUCUUAUGUACUUGUUUUUUAUUCUUUUUAAAUUUUUAACCGUGACUAGGGAUGGGCAAUGGACACCCAUGGGUACUAACAACCACCACUAUCACUAUUACCACCACCUAAUUGGUAUCCAUUUGGGCCAAUGGGUAACCCGUUGCCCAUCCCUACCUACUUUACAAGUGGUGCCACAACACAGGGACAAGUAUGAUUUGAUGGAAGUGUAAUUUCCAAGAUUCACACGAAUGACAAAAAAACGCUGGUCUCCUUGCAUUGCAGGCUCCAAAAUAUAGCAAGGAAUCUGCAAUUUGGGUUUGAUUUACUUUUCAAGACCUCGACCUUUAUCCUAUUACAAAUUACUUUAAACCUUCUAUAUGAUAGAAUUUUACCACUAAUCUUUAGGGCUGUAGUACAAAAUCGACAAUGUUGGCUUUCGUGAUCUGCAGAGAUCCGUAUCUGUGCUCUUCUUCUUUUGUGUGUCUGUGUGAAUGCUCUAACAUCCAGUUUCAUAUGUGACGCAUAUCAAACCUUUAGUUGAUUGCAUAACAUGAAUUUAUUGUAAUAUAUUUUAUUCAUUUCCUAACAUGAUUUUGAUGAGUCAUGCAUGAUGAGAAGACUGUCUUUUGCAGCACAGGAUUAUUUCUUAGUUGUAGAGCAGAGUAACUGCACUGUGAUGUCAAAAUAGACUGUUUUAAUUGUAUUUCCGUGUAUUGGCAGGUAUUCUUUUUGGUAAAUGUUGUUUAAAAUGAAGUUAUGAAUAUACAAAUGUAGUAAUAGAGUAUUUUAAAAUGUUUCUUCAGGAUGUUGUGUUCUGGUUUGCGAUCUUUAACAUUCAGUGGUUAUCACACACCAAAUGUUCGUCCUAUGAGCUGCAGUAGUUCUAUGUUCUUUUUUGUUAUUGACAUAACAAACUGUUCUUCCCAUCAUUCCCACUUGUUGCAUUUUAACGCUAAUUUUUUUUUAUUCUAUGGUUUUGUUGAUAUCCUUUUAUAUUGCUAGCUUUCGAGUUUGUACACAUUUUAAAGACAUUCAUUCCUGAAAUGCCAGCGCUGGAGUCUGUUACUGUUAGCCUUUUAUUUUGUAGGUAAUUUUUGAGGAUUGAUGUUUCAUCUAGAGACGGGCAAUGAUGUUUUUUGUUAGUUCGUUCGUUAGUGUGACGCUUUCUUAUGUUUGUUUGUUGUAUCGUACACUUGCACAUUCAGUAGUUAUGCUUCGGUUCAACUUAUUAUUUUGCACACUGACCAUCUGUUUUAUUUCCGUCUUAUUCCAAUUGUUAUUAUUUCUGAUGGUUCUAAGUGUUUUAUUAAUUGUUUAACUGUUUUUUUCCCAGGAUAUCUAAAACCAAAGGCUAUGAGAUUUCGCCUCAAAUUUCCUUUUUGUUUUUUUGACUAAUUUGAUCUAAUUUCAAUCAAAACAAGUCUGUAUAAUAUCAAUUCUUUUAUUUGAGUGAUGCGGAUUGUAGUUUUUACUUGCAUUGUAUGCAUGGUUUUCUUUUUCUUUUGUUA